GGGGUGCGUGUCGGGAUUAUUGGGCGUAAGAGCUUGUAGGCGGUUUGUCGCGUCUGCUGUGAAAAUCCGGGGCUCAACCCCGGACUUGCAGUGGGUACGGGCAGGCUAGAGUGUGGUAGGGGAGACUGGAAUUCCUGGUGUAGCGGUGAAAUGCGCAGAUAUCAGGAGGAACGCCGAUGGCGAAGGCAGGUCUCUGGGCCACUACUGACGCUGAGAAGCGAAAGCAUGGGGAGCGAACAGGAUUAGAUACCCUGGUAGUCCAUGCCGUAAACGUUGGGAACUAGGUGUGGGUCUCAUUCCACGAGAUCCGUGCCGCAGCUAACGCAUUAAGUUCCCCGCCUGGGGAGUACGGCCGCAAGGCUAAAACUCAAAGGAAUUGACGGGGGCCCGCACAAGCGGCGGAGCAUGCGGAUUAAUUCGAUGCAACGCGAAGAACCUUACCAAGGCUUGACAUACACCGGAAACGUCCAGAGAUGGGCGCCCCGCAAGGUCGGUGUACAGGUGGUGCAUGGUUGUCGUCAGCUCGUGUCGUGAGAUGUUGGGUUAAGUCCCGCAACGAGCGCAACCCUCGUUCUAUGUUGCCAGCGCGUAAUGGCGGGGACUCAUAGGAGACUGCCGGGGUCAACUCGGAGGAAGGUGGGGAUGACGUCAAAUCAUCAUGCCCCUUAUGUCUUGGGCUUCACGCAUGCUACAAUGGCCGGUACAAAGGGCUGCGAUACCGCGAGGUGGAGCGAAUCCCAGAAAACCGGUCUCAGUUCGGAUUGGGGUCUGCAACUCGACCCCAUGAAGUCGGAGUCGCUAGUAAUCGCAGAUCGGCAACGCUGCGGUGAAUACGUUCCCGGGCCUUGUACACACCGCCCGUCAAGUCACGAAAGUCGGUAACACCCGAAGCCGGUGGCCCAACUCGCAAGAGGGGGAGCCGUCGAAGUGGGACUGGCGAUUGGGACUAAGUCGUAACAAGGUAACC
rnacentral:rRNA from 1 species